GUAGGUGGCAAGCGUUGUCCGGGAAUUAUUGGGGCGUAAAGCGCGCGCAGGCGGUUCUUUAAGUCUGAUGUGAAAGCCCACGGGCUCAACCGUGGAGGGUCAUUGGAAACUGGAGAACUUGAGUACAGAAGAGGAAUGCGGAAUUCCACGUGUAGCGGUGAAAUGCGUAGAGAUGUGGAGGAACACCAGUGGCGAAGGCGGCUUUCUGGUCUGUAACUGACGCUGAGGCGCGAAAGCGUGGGGAGCAAACAGGAUUAGAUACCCUGGUAGUCCACGCCGUAAACGAUGAGUGCUAAGUGUUAGGGGGUUUCCGCCCCUUAGUGCUGCAGCUAACGCAUUAAGCACUCCGCCUGGGGAGUACGGCCGCAAAGGCUG
rnacentral:rRNA from 1 species